AGCAAACCACUUUAUAAAUAUCCACUUACACGUCCCCUAACCCACUUCAAACUCUCAACCAAAUUCAACCUUAAAACCCUCUCCCUCAUAUAUCCCUCACCCUAAUAACUCUCCACAAAUAACACCCUUCCAAAUCUCCGUCUCACUCACGUCUCUUCCACUAAUAAACCUAAUUGAACCAUAAUACAAAUUCCACUCCUUUCACUUCCUUUUCUUCAGGUAAAACACACACAACUAAGAGAGAGAAAAAUCCAUACACGCACAAAACACAGAAACAUCAGAAACGAUACACAGAAAGAAAAAAAAGAGCAAAAACACGGAGAGAGAAAAAAACAUAGAGCAGUUUUGGAGUUUCAAAAAGGGUUUCGUUCGCUGUUUCGAGCUCGUGGACCUGAAAGUUAGCUAUUGUUAGCUUUGGAAAUCAGUAGAUUGUAGCCUUUUUUAGUUGUGAAUUAAUCUUCACAAGAGGUACAGAUACCCAGUUUGGUGACCCUUCGGCUUAGGACUUCUGCUCGACUGCGUGAGAGCUCCAUUGUUCCGGAGAUUGAGAUAUUUUGGUGCUCAGGGAGACGGACUUGAUCCAUAGCUGCCUAUUCAGAGAUUUCAUAGAGAGCUCCAUUUCCUCCGGAGCCACAUAUUUUGGGUACUUAUUCUUUUGUGUAUAUAAUUAUGGGCAUAGCGGGGUCCUGUUCCGCUCAUGUGAUAUGUUAUACUCUUCCUAGAGGCUCGUAGUCAUGUGUAUAUGGUUAGAAAUGUCCGGCCUUGUCGGCCUAUGUUUUGUAUAUCAUUUUGUCGGCCACGUCUGUCCAUGUACAUUGAUGUGGCAUAGAUGCCUAUGGUGAUAUAAAUGUACUGUUGUCCAAUUGGGACUAGUUGACGC